UACAGAGGUCUCAAGCGUUUGUUCGGAUUCAUUGGGCGUAAAGGGUGCGUAGGCGGCGCGGUAAGUCGGGUGUGAAAUCUCGGAGCUUAACUCCGAAACUGCAUUCGAUACUGCCGUGCUCGAGGACUGGAGAGGAGACUGGAAUUUACGGUGUAGCGGUGAAAUGCGUAGAUAUCGUAAGGAAGACCAGUGGCGAAGGCGGGUCUCUGGACAGUUCCUGACGCUGAGGCACGAAGGUCAGGGGAGCAAACGGG
rnacentral:rRNA from 1 species